GGUUCCCUUACCCUACUGCUGUCCACCAGGGUGCCCUUUCCCAAUAAAAUCUCUAGCUUUGUCAGCACAUGUGUCUCCUCGGAGUCCCACUGUUAGACAAGAGCCCAGUUUCGGGCCCUGGAAGGGGUCCGCCUUCCUGCAACAAUAGGGUGGCAGAGUCCAACAGGACUGAAGUGACCAUGCAGGCACACAUGAUUUUGUUUAAGUGGGUUAAUCUUUAACGUGAAAUGAAAUAUAUUGAUAGGAUAAAACGAAAGGUGUGAAACAGUGUAAGUCUAAAACAAGGCCAAGCAAGAAACGGAAUUAUCAUAAUCCAUGGUCAGAAGGUUGAUUAGAAACGCCUUUGCCUUCAAGAAUUAGAUUGUCUGCUGAAUGGAAGUUUUAGACCUUUUAACAAUGGCGAGACAGCGGAGUGUGGUGUUAAAACCAUCUUGAUAAUCAGAAGGCUUAGAAAGGCUUAAAAGAACCUUCAGCACAAAGAGUAAUUUUUUUUUAACCUUCCUCGCCUCCCGCAAUUAAUGCCGUUUAAUACACUGUCCAUUGUUUUUAAAGGGAAAAUAUGCCUACAGCAGCUCUUAAUGGCAUGCGCCACAGACGUUUUCUUUAAAAAAAAAAAAAAAAGCGCAAAUGUUUCAUAUGUCAUUCCAUCUCAAACCCUUUCUAAAACAUGGGGCGCUUUCGUCUUUCACGAAAGCCAGGACUUCGAGGCAGAAGAAUCAUUAUGGUUACUCUACAUCCUCUUGAAAAUCAGCAAUUUCAGUGCUAAAAACAGAGAAGCGACUGGCUUUUUCUAACUUCAAGUGAUUUCCAAAAGCGAUCUGAGACAAUUUUCAGUGUUUUCAAUUAGGCAGUGGCUCAUUUUUACAAUUCACUUCACCAGAGGCCUUCACCUCCCAGCCACACACGAAGCCCCUAGACCCUCCUGCGGCCACGACUGCCUCCGCGCAGCCUAAAGGGGGCCGGGCGCGCUUUUCUGGGCUGCGGCUUGCACAGCUUCGCCCCCCUCCUCUGCUGCCACAGCUAGAGCGGUCAGCCAACGGCCGCCUUCCGUUGUACGCAUCGUUCCGCCUUCCAGUUCCACCGAAGCCAAUGGAAAGAGAAUCC
ensembl:lncRNA